AGAGUUUGAUCCUGGCUCAGAAUCAACGCUGGCGGCGCGCUUAACACAUGCAAGUCGCACGAGAAAGGGAGCAAUCCUAAGUAAAGUGGCGUACGGGUGAGUAACACGUGGAUCAUCUACCUUUUAGUGGGGAAUACCUCCGGGAAACUGGAGACAAUACCGCAUAAGCUCGUGAGAGGAAAGCCGAAAGGCGCUGAAAGAGGAGUCCGCGGCUGAUUAGUUUGUUGGCGGGGUAACGGCCCACCAAGACGAAGAUCGGUAGCCGGCCUGAGAGGGCACACGGCCACACUGGCACUGAAACACGGGCCAGACUCCUACGGGAGGCAGCAGUGGGGAAUCUUGCACAAUGGGGGAAACCCUGAUGCAGCGACGCCGCGUGAGC
rnacentral:rRNA from 1 species